rnacentral:rRNA from 1 species
AACGAACGCUGGCGGCAUGCCUAACACAUGCAAGUCGAACGAGACCUUCGGGUCUAGUGGCGCACGGGUGCGUAACGCGUGGGAACCUGCCCUUAGGUUCGGAAUAACUCUCCGACAGGGGUGCUAAUACCGGAUAAUGUCUUCGGACCAAAGAUUUAUCGCCCUUGGAUGGUCCCGCGUUGGAUUAGCUAGUUGGUAGGGUAAAAGCCUACCAAGGCGACGAUCCAUAGCUUGUCUGAGUGGAUGAUCAGCCACACUGGGACUGAGACACGGCCCAGACUCCUACGGGAGGCAGCAGUGGGGAAUAUUGGACAAUGGGCGAAAGCCUGAUCCAGCAAUGCCGCGUGAGUGAUGAAGGCCUUAGGGUUGUAAAGCUCUUUUACCCGGGAUGAUAAUGACAGUACCGGGAGAAUAAGCUCCGGCUAACUCCGUG